CCUACGGGGAGCAGCAGUGAGGAAUAUUGGUCAAUGGACGAGAGUCUGAACCAGCCAAGUAGCGUGAAGGAUGACUGCCCUAUGGGUUGUAAACUUCUUUUAUAUGGGAAUAAAACGUUCCACGUGUGGGAUUUUGUAUGUACCAUCUGAAUAAGGAUCGGCUAACUCCGUGCCAGCAGCCGCGGUAAUACGGAGGAUCCGAGCGUUAUCCGGAUUUAUUGGGUUUAAAGGGAGCGUAGGUGGAUUGUUAAGUCAGUUGUGAAAGUUUGCGGCUCAACCGUAAAAUUGCAGUUAAAACUGGCAGUCUUGAGUACAGUAGAGGUGGGCGGAAUUCGUGGUGUAGCGGUGAAAUGCUUAGAUAUCACGAAGAACUCCGAUUGCGAAGGCAGUUCACUGGACUGCAACUGACACUGAGGCUCGAAAGUGUGGGUAUCAAACAGGAUUAGAUACCCUAGUAGUC
rnacentral:rRNA from 1 species